CCUGAACGCUGGCGGCGUGGCUAAGACAUGCAAGUCGUACGGGUGUAGCAAUACACCAGUGGCGAACGGGUGAGUAAUGAAUCGCUAACGUGCCCCGGACUCUGGGAUAGCUGCCCGAAAGGGCAGGUAAUACCGGAUGACAUAACCGAUCCGCAUGGGUUGGUUCUCAAAGGUCCGCCGGUCUGGGAGCGGGCGAUUUCGUAUCAGCUAGUUGGUGAGGUAACGGCUCACCAAGGCGACGACGCGUAGCCGGACUGAGAGGUUGGCCGGCCACAUU
rnacentral:rRNA from 1 species